CCUACGGGAGGCAGCAGUAGGGAAUAUUGCUCAAUGGGGGAAACCCUGAAGCAGCAACGCCGCGUGAGUGAAGAAGUAUUUCGGUAUGUAAAGCUCUAUCAGCAGGGAAGAAAUAGCGACCUUUGGGUCGCCAGACGGUACCUGAUUAAGAAGCCCCGGCUAACUACGUGCCGGCAGCCGCGGUAAUACGUAGGGGGCAAGCGUUAUCCGGAUUUACUGGGUGUAAAGGGAGCGUAGACGGCAGCGCAAGUCUGAAGUGAAAUGCCGGGGCUUAACCCCGGAACUGCUUUGGAAACUGUGCAGCUAGAGUGCAGGAGAGGUAAGUGGAAUUCCUAGUGUAGCGGUGAAAUGCGUAGAUAUUAGGAGGAACACCAGUGGCGAAGGCGGCUUACUGGACUGUAACUGACGUUGAGGCUCGAAAGCGUGGGGAGCAAACAGGAUUAGAUACCCGAGUAGUC
rnacentral:rRNA from 1 species